UACAGAGGUGUCAAACGUUGUCCGGAAUUACUGGGCGUAAAGGGCGCGUAGGCGGCCUUAUAAGUCACGUGUGAAAGCUCUGGGCUCAACCCAGGAAUUGCAUGUGAUACUGUAAGGCUCGAGUUCGGUAGAGGAGGGCGGAAUUCCAGGUGUAGCGGUGAAAUGCGUAGAUAUCUGGAGGAACACCCGUGGCGAAGGCGGCUCUCUGGUCCGAAACUGACGCUGAGGUGCGAAAGCUAGGGUAGCAAACAGG
rnacentral:rRNA from 1 species